rnacentral:ncRNA from 1 species
UGGGAUGAGCGGGAACGCUCAAAUUUAAAAUCUCCGUUGCUUGCAACGGCGAAUUGUAGUUUCGAGAAGCACUUUCUCGGCGGAUCCGAGGUCGUCCAAGUUGCUUGGAACAGCACGUCGUAGAGGGUGACAACCCCGUCUGCGGCGAUCUCGGCCGUUCACGAUGUGCUUUCGACGAGUCGGGUUGUUUGGGAAUGCAGCCCAAAAUGGGUGGUAAACUCCAUCUAAAGCUAAAUAUUGGCACGAGACCGAUAGCGAACAAGUACCGUGAGGGAAAGAUGAAAAGCACUUUGAAAAGAGAGUUAAAAAGUACGUGAAACCGUUAAAAGGGAAACGAAUGGGGUUAGCAAUGCGUCGUGCGAGAUUCAGCCGGUGGGUGGGCCAGGCGGGCGGUUGGCGGAUCUGAAUGGACCGCUGCCGUUCGGGUUGGUUUCCCGACCGUCGCACUUCUCGCAGGCGCGCGCCAACGUCGGUUAGGGCUGGGUCUCAAAGGCGGUGGAAAGGUAGGUUUGGACUCUCGGGCCCGAACUGUUACAGUCCUCCGUUUGUCAUGGCCCGGACCUGACCGAGGAGCUUGCGGUGCAUGCCGUUCGGCUAGGGUCCCGUCUUCCCGGUCGGUCGUCGAAUGCGGUGGACUGCGUGCAGUGCGCCGCGACUGCUGCCGGUCGCGAGGGCGGUGAUUUCGUACUAUGCACCCACGACGUUGGCGGUCAUAUGGCCUCAUCCGACCCGUCUUGAAACACGGACCAAGGAGUCUAACAUGUGUGCGAGUCUUUGAGUGACCGANACUCCGAGGCGUAAUGAAAGUGAAGGCGACUUCGGUCGCUGAGGUGAGAGCCUUUUUCCAAAAAAAGAAGGCGCAUCAUUGACCGACCUAUUCUACUCUUAGAAAGGUUUGAGUAAGAGCGCAUCUGUUGGGACCCGAAAGAUGGUGAACUAUGCCUGAAUAGGGUGAAGCCAGAGGAAACUCUGGUGGAGGCUCGUAGCGAUUCUGACGUGCAAAUCGAUCGUCAAAUUUGGGUAUAGGGGCGAAAGACUAAUCGAACUGUCUAGUAGCUGGUUCCCUCCGAAGUUUCCCUCAGGAUAGCUGGAACUUACGGCAGUUUUAUCAGGUAAAGCGAAUGAUUAGAGGUCUUAGGGUUAAAACAACCUUAACCUAUUCUCAAACUUUAAAUUGGUAAGAAGUCCGACUUGCUUAAUUGAAGCCGGACAGUGAAUGCGAGUU